GUCGUGAGAUGUUGGGUUAAGUCCCGCAACGAGCGCAACCCUUGCUGUCAGUUAACAACGGGUAAAGCCGGUGACUCUGACGGGACUGCCGUGGAUAACACGGAGGAAGGUGGGGACGACGUCAAAUCAUCAUGCCCCUUAUGACCUGGGCUACACACGUGCUACAAUGGCCGUAACAAAGGGAAGCGAAGUGGCAACAUGGAGCGAAUCCCAAAAAAGCGGUCUCAGUUCGGAUUGUGGGCUGCAACCCGCCCACAUGAAGUCGGAGUUGCUA
rnacentral:rRNA from 1 species